AACGAACGCUGGCGGCAUGCCUAACACAUGCAAGUCGAACGAGACCUUCGGGUCUAGUGGCGCACGGGUGCGUAACGCGUGGGAACCUGCCCUUAGGUUCGGAAUAACUCCCCGAAAGGGGUGCUAAUACCGGAUAAUGUCUUCGGACCAAAGAUUUAUCGCCUUUGGAUGGGGCCGCGUUGGAUUAGCUAGUUGGUAGGGUAAAAGCCUGCCAAGGCGACGAUCCAUAGCUGGUCUGAGAGGAUGAUCAGCCACACUGGGACUGAGACACGGCCCAGACUCCUACGGGAGGCAGCAGUGGGGAAUAUUGGACAAUGGGCGAAAGCCUGAUCCAGCAAUGCCGCGUGAGUGAUGAAGGCCUUAGGGUUGUAAAGCUCUUUUACCCGGGAUGAUAAUGACAGUACCGGGAGAAUAAGCUCCGGCUAACUCCGUG
rnacentral:rRNA from 1 species